UCCAGGUGCAGGGGAUGGCCAGUGAAAAUGCCCAGAGUUGGGUGAUGGAGGGUCUAGUGCAGGGAACAGCCACACCUAUCAAGUGCAGAACAUCAACAGGCCAUUGUGGCUGGGAUGCAAGUGUGAGGAGGAGAGAAAAGUGGAAGAAGACUGGAAAGAAAGGUGGCUUGCUGAAAGGUGGAUGUUACAAUGUCGAUGUCUUUCCUAAGACGGGACACCCUGCAAUGAACAUAACGUCCCCCAUGCGGUCACACCAGGGCAGAAUACAACGAUGACGUGCACCUCUAAAACUGGGCAUUAUCCUCUUCUGAGAUUACAUUGGCUGGAUCUCCAGACCUGACAUAUGUCCUGAGCUCAGGAGCCCCAGCUUCCAUCAGCCUGCUGAAUAUACUGCCACUACCACAAGCUUGAUACGUCUAAAAUGGAAAUAAAAUUCUUAAACUUA